GGGGAAUAUUGCACAAUGGGGGAAACCCUGAUGCAGCGACGCCGCGUGAGUGAAGAAGUACUUCGGUAUGUAAAGCUCUAUCAGCAGGGAAGAAGAUGACGGUACCUGACUAAGAAGCCCCGGCUAACUACGUGCCAGCAGCCGCGGUAAUACGUAGGGGGCAAGCGUUAUCCGGAUUUACUGGGUGUAAAGGGAGCGUAGGUGGUGCGGUAAGUCAGAUGUGAAAGCCCGGGGCUCAACCCCGGGACUGCAUUUGAAACUGCCGUGCUAGAGUGCAGGAGAGGUAAGUGGAAUUCCUAGUGUAGCGGUGAAAUGCGUAGAUAUUAGGAGGAACACCAGUGGCGAAGGCGGCUUACUGGACUGUAACUGACACUGAGGCUCGAAAGCGUGGGGAGCAAAC
rnacentral:rRNA from 1 species